rnacentral:rRNA from 1 species
UACGGGGGGUGCGAGCGUUGUUCGGAUUUACUGGGCGUAAAGAGCGCGCAGGCGGUCGUUCAAGUCGCGUGUGAAAGCCCCCGGCUCAACUGGGGAGGGUCACGCGAUACUGAUCGACUCGAAGGCAGGAGAGGGUAGUGGAAUUCCCGGUGUAGUGGUGAAAUGCGUAGAUAUCGGGAGGAACACCAGUGGCGAAGGCGACUACCUGGCCUGUUUCUUGACGCUGAGGCGCGAAAGCUAGGGGAGCAAACGGGG